rnacentral:rRNA from 1 species
UACAGAGGGGCAAGCGUUGUUCGGAAUUACUGGGCGUAAAGGGCGCGUAGGCGGCCUGCUAAGUCGAACGUGAAAUCCCUGGGCUUAACCCAGGAACUGCGUCCGAUACUGGCAGGCUUGAAUCCGGGAGAGGGAUGCGGAAUUCCAGGUGUAGCGGUGAAAUGCGUAGAUAUCUGGAGGAACACCGGUGGCGAAGGCGGCAUCCUGGACCGGCAUUGACGCUGAGGCGCGAAAGCCAGGGAGCAACGGG